UACAGAGGGUGCGAGCGUUGUUCGGAAUUAUUGGGCGUAAAGCGCUUGUAGGCGGCCUGUCAAGUCGCGUGUGAAAUCCCCUGGCUCAACCAGGGAAGUGCGCGCGAAACUGGCGGGCUUGAGUGCCGGAGAGGGUCGCGGAAUUCCCGGUGUAGAGGUGAAAUUCGUAGAUAUCGGGAGGAACACCAGUGGCGAAGGCGGCGACCUGG
rnacentral:rRNA from 1 species